CGAGAAAACUUUGCAAUGUGCGAAAGCACGACAAGGUUAAUCCGAGUGGUUUCUGCUAAAGGAACCUUUUGUCGGUCCUAGAAACACCGAUGAAUAAGGGGUGGGCAAGUUCUGGUGUCAGCCGCCGCGGUAAAACCAGCACCUCAAGUGGUCAGGAUGAUUAUUGGGCCUAAAGCAUCCGUAGCCGGCUACUGUAAGUUUUUCGGUUAAAUCUGUAACGCUUCAACGUACAGGCUGCCGGGAAUAACUGCAGAGCUAGGGAGUGGGAGAGGUAGACGGUA
rnacentral:rRNA from 1 species